GAUGAACGCUGGCGGCGUGCCUAAUACAUGCAAGUCGAGCGAACAGACGAGGAGCUUGCUCCUCUGACGUUAGCGGCGGACGGGUGAGUAACACGUGGAUAACCUACCUAUAAGACUGGGAUAACUUCGGGAAACCGGAGCUAAUACCGGAUAAUAUAUUGAACCGCAUGGUUCAAUAGUUAAAGACGGUUUUGCUGUCACUUAUAGAUUGAUCCGCGCCGCAUUAGCUAGUUGGUAAGGUAACGGCUUACCAAGGCAAAGAUGCGUAGCCGACCUGAGAGGGUGAUCGGCCACACUGGAACUGAGACACGGUACAGACUCCUACGGGAGGCAGCAGUAGGGAAUCUUCCGCAAUGGGCGAAAGCCUGACGGAGCAACGCCGCGUGAGUGAUGAAGGUCUUCGGAUCGUAAAACUCUGUUAUUAGGGAAGAACAAAUGUGUAAGUAACUAUGCACGUCUUGACGGUACCUAAUCAGAAAGCCACGGCUAACUACGUG
rnacentral:rRNA from 1 species